rnacentral:rRNA from 1 species
CCUACGGGAGGCAGCAGUGGGGAAUAUUGCGCAAUGGGCGAAAGCCUGACGCAGCGACGCCGCGUGAGGGAUGAAGGUCUUCGGAUCGUAAACCUCUGUUAGCAGGGAAGAACGGUCACUGUGCUAAUCAGCAGUGAAUUGACGGUACCUGCAAAGGACGCACAGGCUAACGCCGUGCCAGCAGCCGCGGUAAUACGGAGGAUGCGAGCGUUAAUCGGAAUUACUGGGCGUAAAGCGCGCGUAGGCGGUAUGUCAAGUCAAGGGUGAAAUCCCCGCGCUCAACGUGGGAACUGCCUUUGAAACUGGCAAACUGGAGGGUGGGUGCGGAUAGUGGAAUGCCAGGUGUAGGAGUGAAAUCCGUAGAGAUC